rnacentral:rRNA from 2 species
GGGGACGUAACAAAGCGACCCAGGAAUGCUUGGGCGUGCCUCCACCCACGCCGGCGUCGGCGGGCGUAUUUCGCCUCACAGUAGGUCGCCGCGACCCGUUGCUUUUGGGGACGUCGAAGGCCCGGACGGAUUGGUACCCUAUCGGCUGGGGAUGCGGCUUCGGCUUCUCCUCUUGUCCGGUGGGCGAAACCGCCGGUGUCCUGGCUGCCCUGCGACGGUCGUAGAGACGAGCCCCUCCCAUUCGUGGGGGGCGGCUCUCGCGGCGUGCAAAAGGUCGGUGAUCCACCCGACCCGUCUUGAAACACGGACCAAGGAGUCUAACAUGUGUGCGAGUCAGUGGGCGCACUAAACCCAGAGGCGUAAUGAAAGUGACACGGGUUCGGCUGUCGCCUCGUGUGGCAGCCGGACUCAGGGCCGAUCCCUCACCGGUUGCCCUCGCCUUCUCUCCCGCGUCUCGGUAAGCCGGGUGAGCUAUUUUCCCCGGCCGCUGCUGCGGGGCUCGGGGGGAGGCGGGGUGCGAUGGUGUCCGUCAAAAAGAGCCUGCUGUUGCAGGGGGGCGCAGGCCCGGGACUUGCCAGGACGCCGCGAGACUGUCACUUUGCUGUGAGGCUCCAGGGCCGAUCAGCGGGUCAUGCGUGCAGUCGGCAAGUACCAUGAGCAGACAUGUUGGGACCCGAAAGAUGGUGAACUAUGCCUGGCCAGGAUGAAGCCAGAGGAAACUCUGGUGGAGGUCCGUAGCGAUUCUGACGUGCAAAUCGAUCGUCGGAGCUGGGUAUAGGGGCGA